GUAAGGGAUAUUGCGCAAAUGGACGGAAGUCUGACGCAGCAACGCCGCGUGCGGGAGGACGGCCUUCGGGUCGUAAACCGCUUUUCGAGGUGAAGAGCGAGGACGGUAACCUCGGAAGAAGUCUCGGCUAACUACGUGCCAGCAGCCGCGGUAAAACGUAGGAGGCGAGCGUUAUCCGGAUUUACUGGGUGUAAAGCGCGUGCAGGCGGUCUGUUAAGUUCGGUGUGAAAGCGCCUGGCUCAACCGGGCGAGGACGCCGAAAACUGAGAGACUGGAGGCAGGGAGAGGUCUGUGGAAUUCCGGGUGUAGUGGUGAAAUGCGUAGAGAUCCGGAGGAACACCAGUGGCGAAGGCGGCAGACUGGCCCUGACCUGACGCUCAGACGCGAAAGCACGGGGAGCGAACGGGAUUAGAUACCCCUGUAGUCC
rnacentral:rRNA from 1 species